GCCAAUGUGGUGUAGGGGUUUGAAUGUUGGACUAUGACUAUGGAGACCAGGGUCCGAAUCCCUGCUUGGCCA